GUAGGGUGCGAGCGUUAAUCGGAAUUACUGGGCGUAAAGUGUGCGCAGGCGGCGCCGCAAGUCGAGUGUGAAAUCCCCGGGCUUAACUUGGGAAUUGCGCUCGAAACUACGGGGCUCGAGUGUGGCAGAGGGGGGUGGAAUUCCACGUGUAGCGGUGAAAUGCGUAGAGAUGUGGAGGAACACCAAUGGCGAAGGCAGCCCCCUGGGCCAACACUGACGCUCAUGCACGAAAGCGUGGGGAGCAAACAGGAUUAGAUACCCUGGUAGUCCACGCCCUAAACGAUGAUGACUAGUUGUUGGGGGAGUUAAAUCCCUUAGUAACGCAGCUAACGCGCGAAGUCAUCCGCCUGGGGAGUACGGUCGCUAGAUUA
rnacentral:rRNA from 1 species